rnacentral:rRNA from 1 species
UAAGGAAGUAAAAGUCGUAACAAGGUCUCCGUUGGUGAACCAGCGGAGGGAUCAUUA